UGUCCCUCCUCUCGCGUCGGGCUCUCUCGUCCGUAGAUUGUGAUCUCUUCAAGACGAUCGGGAAGGAGGAGCGAAUGGCGAUCGUAGCCUACGUCGUCUUCACCGGCACUGAAUCGCUCAUCGGCAACGUCGCCGCCAUCCCCAUCCACACCCGUCUUCGACAACUCCAUGUGAACUUGAUCGAGCUGGCCUCUGGCGGAUACCAGUUCAGCAUGUGAAUCACUCCAAGAUAUGUGCUGCUCAGGAAUCACAUCCUUCCUUUUCUCUGUCUUUACGCGAAUAUCCAUGUGUAUCCCUCCGUCGAGGGUGGCGUGUACUCAACCAAGUAUUUGUGGUGCUCUGUGUCAGCUUAACUGUUGCAUCACACGCUCCUUAGCAAAGCAUCCUUGGAGAAGGAUCUGCUUCUCUUUGGGGGGGUCUCAUGAGAUCAUGUUGCUUGGUGGGUGCUUGCAGGCUUCUCGUGGAGAGUGCAGGAUGCCUGAGUACUCCUAGUUCAAACGAGUGAAUCUGAGCCAUGCAUAGCAGAUUGCAAACCCGAGUCCCUGGCUCAAUGAUUGCUCACAUGGGUGUUAGCUUGGACUUCAACAUCAGCAUUCGAGAUUGGCAUAUUUCGGUCCUCUGCACUGACAUGAGAUGCUCUCCUUGUGGAGCCCACAUGCUCCUGCACAUCAUUUCUCUCUUCAAUCAUUUGCCUCCUCACCCCAUGUCUUCUAUGGAAUCCUCACUCUAGAUGAUAUUCCAUUCCUAACAUAUUUCGUCAGGAAGAAAAACUAGUUCAUAAUUUCUUCUGUGCUUCAUAACUUGUGAAACCCUUUAUUGGAGGAUGCCUUUUCCUUUGAGAAUAGGA